rnacentral:lncRNA from 10 species
AUUUUAUUCUUCCCUGUUUCAACUUAGCUCCAACUCUUUUUUUCUUUUUUCCAUCAAGAUUUAAACCUGUCAUCCUUGACAUUUGGGGCAGAAACUGCUGAAAUGAAGGAGGACUUGCCAUCAAAGAACUGGCUGAAAGGAGUUAGCACACCACUCCUCUGCCCUGAACAGUUCUAAGCAAGAGGAGGAGCCUGUGGCAGGGCGUGAUAUGAAGUCCUCAGAGAUAGAGUGCCAAGAGUAGAGGGAGUAUCCUGGAACUUCAGUGUUUGCAGGCUGUAUACAAGCAGGGCUGUUAGCAUCUGCUCAGCUUCUGAUGAGGCCCAGGAAGCUUUUGGUCUUGGUGGAAGAGAAGAGGAGCCAGCAUAUUACAUGACGAGAGGAAGCAAGAGAGAUACCAGGCUCUUUUAAGCAACCAGUUCUCAUGUGAACGCAUUGCUACUGAGAAAGUGCCAAACCAUUCACGAGGGAUCCACUACCUAGACCCAAACACCUCCCCCUAGGCCCCGUCUCCAACAGCGGGGAUCAUAUUUCAACAUGAGACUUCGAGGAGACAAAUAUCCAAACCAUAUCGCCCACGUUUAGGAAUGUCUCUCCAUGGUAGAUGAUUUGCAAAUAGACGGUGGUAUACCCAUUCCAUGGAAGCAGGGAAAUAUGUUUGCACGUCUUUGGUUAGUCCUCUUCUUUUCUACUGACAGUGGGCUUGUCCAUGUGUCCUGCAUGAUCAAAAUGACAAUAGCAAACUUGAUGGCCACAGAAGAUUGAAAAGUGCUUGGGCAUUGAGCUUGCUCUCUCUUGAAGUGCUUGGAGCCCUGAGACUGCCAUGAGACCACAUAAAUGAUCACUAGCUAGCCUGCUGGAGGAUGAGAGGUCACUUGAGAAACCUUGGCUCACAGCCUGCUUACACCAGACACAUGGAUGAGUCUGUCUUAGACUAUCCAGCUCCAGCUGAGUUGCCAGCUGACUUCAGUCACAUGAGUGAGAACAACAGAAGGACAGCACUGAGCUCUGCCAAAAUUGCUGACCUACAGAAUCUUGAGCUAAUGAAUGAUUGUAGCUUUAUGCCAUUAAGUUCUGAGGCAGUGUGCUAUACAUAGCAAAAGCUAACUGAUACAAAACUAAAGAUACAAUGGCACAAACAUGAAAAGACAUGUUCACCGAAGCAUUGCCUAUAAUAGUUAAAGACUGGAAACGACUCAGAUGUCCACCAACUCAGGAGUGGUUGAACCUACUACAGUGCAUUCACCCCGUGGAAUACUAAGCAGCUCCAACAGGGGUAGGAAAUUUGUAUACUUUCAUAAAAUGAUCUUUAGGAUAUAUUGUUAAGUGAAAAAAACAAGGUGUAGAAUAGUUAAUAGAGUAUGCUACCUCUUAUUUAAUAAAGGGAGAAUAUAAAUAUGUAUUUUGCUUUUAUUUAGAAAAUGAAAGAAUAAGAAACCACUAAAAUGAUUUUUUAGAAGAAAGCAAGGGGACACAGAUGGAAGUUAGAUUUCUCUAAAUUUACUUUGUUUUGUAGCUAGAACUUUAGAACCAUGUCAAUGUUUUACAC